rnacentral:rRNA from 1 species
CAGCCGUAAACUAUGCUCGCUAGGUGUCAGGCAUGGCGCGACCGUGUCUGGUGCCCGCAGGGAAGCCGUGAAGCGAGCCACCUGGGAAGUACGGCCGCAAGGCUGAAACUUAAAGGAAUUGGCGGGGGAGCACAACAACGGGUGGAGCCUGCGGUUUAAUUGGACUCAACGCCGGACAACUCACCGGGGACGACAGCAAUAUGUAGGCCAGGCUGAAGACCUUGCCUGAAUCGCUGAGAGGAGGUGCAUGGCGUAGACGUCU